UGUGCACAAAGCGAAUUGGGGUGGAGCAGUUAACAUUGCAGUGAAAGAGUUACAUGCAUCGUUUCAAAAGACGGAGCUUGCAGUCUUUACCUUGCCCGCAGUCUUACCGUACCUCGAAGCUUGCGCUGCAGAACAUGGGGCCAGCAAUGCAACGCCCUGUGGGUCUGUCAAGGGACGCAGCCUUUCCAACUUGGUGCAGCUUGAGGCGAAACCAGACAACGUUUGAGGGGUAGCUUUCAGACGCACCCUAGCUCCACAAUUGAAAGACUCUCUGCAUCCUUUACAUUCCUCUCAUUCUGCUCUGAGUUUGAGCGUCUGAGCUUACGCAGACGACCAUUUCACGAUCUGUCGGAUUCGUGCCUCGCUUACUAUUCGGGACAUAGAUUGGGUUCCAUGCAUGGAAUAUGAGCAUUUCAGGUGGAGUGGGGCGCAUGGUGCAUUGGGAGCUUCACAGCCACGGGUGCAGCUGGUUGGUUCUACAAUGAGUAUUGGAGAUGGCGUCCAGAAUGAUAAGCAAGAUGCAUCAAGACUUCGACUCAGUGUUAUGGACGAAAUUUGCAAGCAUGGCGGUCGUUUUUUUGGCAUUUGGAGCGAUGCUUUACCAAGAUCAUGCCCACCCCCGGCCUCCCAGGCGAGUUGCGGUGAUCCCGCAGCAAAAACCUGUUUCUAGGGUACGUGAGGGAUCUGCAACAUCGCACCGGCGUCCAAAUCGGUCAGCAGCACCGAUUCCUCUGACAUUUCGUCAGAUGUAUAGCCUCUUAGCGGCGCUCAGUGCCCUUUCUCUGUUAGUAAGUCUGCUUUACUAUCUUGAAUCAGGGAACAGUGGCCCGCAGCGGAACCAUCGUCAUCUUUCCUCACGUCGAUUCACUUAGGGUCGCAAAGAGACAUGCCAAGAAGGUAUGAAUAGUUCUGACAAAGUUCACUUGAAAACUAUGUACCGAAGACAUGCGUGAUACUUCGCUGGACAUGGAGAUUGAUAGCUGUAAAGCCAGCUGCAUUUCUCUUAUACCCAUCUUCAUCAUCAUGUGCAGAAUUAUCAUUAAGUCACCAGAUAGCUGCGGAGGAAUUAAUUUAUCAAUGGUUUUAAUUUCAAAUAGUUAGCUUAUCAGAGUACCCAGUUCAUUCGGUUCCUGACAAUUUCGUUCCUAACGGAAUAAAUUUAAUAACAAUCUACAGCAUUGUACAUGAUGUGAUAAGUUGUUAACCUGCACAUUGUAUAUGCUCACAAUGACUGAGGUUGUUGGGAAGUAUAAUUCUCGUGUCAAUACUUGAAAUUGUAUAAAUGAUACAGCAGAGCGAAUGCAAGCAACGUCAUGCUCAAUUUUGACCAA